GAUGAACGCUGGCGGCGUGCCUAAUACAUGCAAGUCGAGCGAGCGGACGAGAAGCUUGCUUCUCUGAUGUUAGCGGCGGACGGGUGAGUAACACGUGGAUAACCUACCUAUAAGACUGGGAUAACUUCGGGAAACCGGAGCUAAUACCGGAUGAUAUUUUGAACCGCAUGGUUCAAAAGUGAAAGACGGUCUUGCUGUCACUUAUAGAUGGAUCCGCGCUGCAUUAGCUAGUUGGUAAGGUAACGGCUUACCAAGGCAACGAUGCAUAGCCGACCUGAGAGGGUGAUCGGCCACACUGGAACUGAGACACGGUCCAGACUCCUACGGGAGGCAGCAGUAGGGAAUCUUCCACAAUGGGCGAAAGCCUGACGGAGCAACGCCGCGUGAGUGAUGAAGGUCUUCGGAUCGUAAAACUCUGUUAUUAGGGAAGAACAUAUGUGUAAGUAACUGUGCACAUCUUGACGGUACCUAAUCAGAAAGCCACGGCUAACUACGUG
rnacentral:rRNA from 1 species